GAGGAAGUAAAAAGUCGUAACAAGGUUUCCGUAGGUGAACCUGCGGAAGGAUCAUUAUUGAAUACGAUUGGUACUGAUGCUGGCUCUUAACUGAGCAUGUGCUCGUCCAUCUAUUUAUCUUCUCUUGUGCACAUUUUGUAGUCUUGAACGUACCUCUCGCAGUCAAAUGCGGUUUGGGAGCUUGGGCGCAAGCCCUUCUCCUGCUUCUUCAAGGCUAUGUUUUCAUAUACACUAUAAAGUUACAGAAUGUCUUUUAACGAUUGCGCUUGUCGUAGUCAUUAAACCUAUACAACUUUCAGCAACGGAUCUCUUGGCUCUCCUAUCGAUGAAGAACGCAGCGAAAUGCGAUAAGUAAUGUGAAUUGCAGAAUUCAGUGAAUCAUCGAAUCUUUGAACGCACCUUGCGCCCUUUGGUAUUCCGAAGGGCAUGCCUGUUUGAGUGUCAUUAAAUUAUCAACCUUGCUCGCUUUUACCGGCUUGAGUUAGGCUUGGAUGUGAGGGCUUGCUGGCUUCCUUCAGUGGAUGGUCUGCUCCCUUUAAAUGCAUUAGUGGGAUCUCUUGUGGACCGUCACUUGGUGUGAUAAUUAUCUAUGCCAUUUGACUUUGAAGCAAAACUUAUGGGAACCCGCUCAUAACCGUCUUCGGACAACUUUUGACAUUUUGACCUCAAAUCAGGUAGGACUACCCGCUGAACUUAAGCAUAUCAAUAAGCGGAGGAAAAGAAACUAACAAGGAUUCCCCUAGUAACUGCGAGUGAAGCGGGAAAAGCUCAAAUUUAAAAUCUGGCGGUUCUUGUAGCCGUCCGA
rnacentral:rRNA from 1 species